CCUACGGGAGGCAGCAGUAGGGAAUCUUUCACAAUGGGCGAAAGCCUGAUGGAGCAACGCCGCGUGCAGGAUGAAGGCCUUCGGGUUGUAAACUGCUUUUAUAAGCGAGAAAUAUGAUGGUAACUUAUGAAUAAGGAUCGGCUAACUACGUGCCAGCAGCCGCGGUCAUACGUAGGAUCCGAGCAUUAUCCGGAGUGACUGGGUGUAAAGAGUUGCGUAGGUGGCAUAACAAGUAGCUAGUGAAAUCUGGUGGCUCAACCAUUCAGACUAUUAGCUAAACUGUUAAGCUCGAGACCGUUAGGGGUAACUGGAAGUUCUAGUGUAGGAGUGAAAUCCGUAGAUAUUAGAAGGAACACCAAUAGCGUAGGCAGGUUGCUGGGACGGUUCUGACACUAAGGCACGAAAGCGUAGGGAGCAAACGGGAUUAGAUACCCGUGUAGUC
rnacentral:rRNA from 1 species